rnacentral:rRNA from 1 species
UACGUAGGGGGGCAAGCGUUGUCCGGAAUCAUUGGGCGUAAAGAGCUCGUAGCGGUUUGUCGCGUCGGCUGUGAAAACUCGGGGGCUCAACCCCGAGCCUGCAGUCGAUACGGGCAGACUAGAGUGCGGUAGGGGAGACUGGAAUUCCUGGUGUAGCGGUGAAAUGCGCAGAUAUCAGGAGGAACACCGGUGGCGAAGGCGGGUCUCUGGGCCGUAACUGACGCUGAGGAGCGAAAGCGUGGGGAGCAAACAGG